GGGCGCAAGCCUGAUGCAGCCACGCCGCGUGAGGGAUGGAGGCCUUCGGGUUGUAAACCUCUUUUGUUAGGGAGCAAGGCACUUUGUGUUGAGUGUACCUUUCGAAUAAGCACCGGCUAACUACGUGCCAGCAGCCGCGGUAAUACGUAGGGUGCAAGCGUUAUCCGGAAUUAUUGGGCGUAAAGGGCUCGUAGGCGGUUCGUCGCGUCCGGUGUGAAAGUCCAUCGCUUAACGGUGGAUCCGCGCCGGGUACGGGCGGGCUUGAGUGCGGUAGGGGAGACUGGAAUUCCCGGUGUAACGGUGGAAUGUGUAGAUAUCGGGAAGAACACC
rnacentral:rRNA from 1 species